GACGAACGCUGGCGGCGUGCUUAACACAUGCAAGUCGAACGGAAAGGCCCUGCUUUUGCGCGGCGCUCGAGUGGCGAACGGGUGAGUAACACGCGAGUAUACUGCCCUUGACUUUGGGAUAACUUUAGGAAACUGGGGCUCAUACCGGAUAUGAGCUCCUGCUGCACGGUGGGGGUUGGAGAGUUUCGGUGGUUUGGGCUGGAAUCGCGGCUUAUCAGCGUGUAGGUGGAGUAGUGGAUUACCAAGCGUUUGACGGGUAGCCGGCCUGGGAGGGGGAACGGCCACAUGGGGACUACGAUACGGCCCAGACGCCUACGGGAGGCAACAGGGGAAAGUAUUACACAACGGGCGGAAGCCUGAUGCGACGACCCCGCGUGCGGGAAAACGGCCUUCGGGUUGUAAACCGCUUUCGCCUGUGACGAAGCGGGAGUGACGGUAAUGGAUAAGGAAGCACCGGCUAACUACGUG
rnacentral:rRNA from 1 species